AUUACCGUAGUUACCGCCGCUGCCGCACCCCGCGCCUGGGCCCGGCGCUGUUGGCGCGGCCGCCGCGUGGCGCGCGAGGCUGGCCCCCGAUUGGCUGGCGCCCCGCCGCCCUCCCGCCCGCGAUCAAAAUGGCCGCGCCCGGCCGUCGCCACAGCGGGAGUGGCCCAUAGCAACAGUACCGCUCGAGCGGACUACUGCUUCUCUUUCCUGAAGGAAAACGAACAAGGAAAAAAGGAAAAAAAAAAACCAAACCCAUCCUCCAAACACACAUACAGAAAAAAAAACAAAAACCCCAAACCAAAACAAACAACAAAAAAAAAAACACCACAAAACAAAACCAAAAAACCAAACCACAAAAAUCCCUCAUAAAACCAACCAAAAGCCAACAGUGCAGUGCUAGAAGAAAGCGGACACUGUUUCAGCCUUCUAUUAGUAAAAGCACGCGUGUGAGGAGCACCAGAGGUGGGGAAACGUUUUGAUACACAGCAGUAUCCACAGCCAGGCGGCCUGAGCUCGUAUUUCACAGCUAUGUUUCCCAUUAGGUUGCUAGAAUAGUCAGGCUGGAGAGGGCAGUUAUAAACAUCUCAGCCAUUAUUGAACAUGUUGAAUGGAAGACUGAGAAUGCAAUUUUGGCCUUAAAGGAAGAAGUCCAUGGUCUGUCUCAUGGUUAUGCAGAACAGAAUUGCUCUCAAUUUCAUACUGGCUGCACAAGGAGGACUACAGAAGAAGGCAUCAGUAUAUGCUAAAAGGAUACAAAAAAAAAGGAUAGCCAGAAGAAAAACAGAUCCCAAAUACUCACUGAGGAAACAAUGUCCUGAAUCAAGUCAUAUUUGCUUAGCAAUAAGGGAACUGGUGGUCUGCAUGAAUGAUGGGAAGGAUUUGAUAUGGCAGAGGGAAGGAGAGAGAACUUCUGUGGUUGAAAUAGCUGUAUUGGCACACAGCUUUGCAUAUGAAUUUCUCAUACAACUACUAUCCAUUAGGACUGGAAUCCUAAUGGUCUGGACAUUAAACAGAAUUAGAGAAAAAAGGAAAUAUACUUCUAAAUUGUUUAUGCUUGUGGUCUAUUCAUGUGCAUGGCAAAACAGAUUUAGUACUAAAGCAUAA
rnacentral:lncRNA from 1 species